rnacentral:rRNA from 1 species
AGAAUCAACGCUGGCGGCGUGCCUAACACAUGCAAGUCGAACGAGAAAGUGGAGCAAUCCAUGAGUAAAGUGGCGCACGGGUGAGUAACACGUGACUAACCUACCCUUGAGUGGGGGAUAACCUAGAGAAAUCUGGGCUAAUACCGCAUAAUACCUUCGGGUCAAAGGAGCAAUUCGCUUAAGGAGGGGUCGCGGCCGAUUAGUUAGUUGGCGGGGUAAUGGCCCACCAAGACUGUGAU